UCCCUCUCUCCCUUUGAACUUGUCUUUAGAAAACUUUUCUACCUCAUCAUCAUCAUCAUCAUCUCCCUCUCUCUCUCUCUCUCUCUCUAUCGAUUCCUUUCUUUGUCUACACGCCUCUCUCUCUCUCUCUCUCUCUCUCUCUCUCUCUAAUCACAACCGAAAUCAACUGAAUUAAAAGACAGCAAUCCACGUGAGCUAACGUCCAGCCCUCCCUGUUCCAGCCACCCCUCAGAUGAUUGAUUCUCGGAUCGAUGCAAAUACGAUGCUGAGCCUGACCCACCAAAUUACCGUACAGGCUACUUGAUGACUUCCAAAUAGAGAUGAUGAUAAUGCGUCGCGCUCCCCUUUUAGAGUGUUUUUGACUUGUCAGCAGUGAAGCUUCUUGGAUGCUUCAUGAAUAAAUAAAUAAAUAAAUAAAAAUAAACAAAA